AUAAUCAAUAAAUUUAAUUUUUUUAAUAAAGCUAAGGUGAUUACAAAGUAGUAUAUGUUCUAAAUACUCUCAAUCAUUUGACAAUAAACGCUCAAUCACCCUGCUGCAGUAGCUGGUGCUCGAACCUGUGACAUCUAAGAACAACAAUGAUUCCCUGAACCACUGAGAC